AUCUAUCACUUUCCCGAGUGACACAAACGAACGAGAAUCUGAAAGUUUGGGGUGAACCCCUAAUUUGUCAAGGCACGACGAGGCAAGGAAAUCGAGAGUGCAAAUGGAGGCCGAUGGACCAUGAAACUUUUUCUUGGAAUUGCGUGAAACGUUGGAGCAAGCUUGAUGUGUGAACUAUUUUUACUUUCCUAUGUUUUCCCUGAACGACAAGAACAAAAAGAAUACGAGGAAGAUUUCAAGAAGUGGAAGAUAGCGAAGACGAAAUGAAGUUCAAACGCAAAGGAGGGUGCAAGACAAGAAGGGAUGAUGCAGAGUGCGCGAUUUAAUUUAAUAUAGUCUAAUCUCGUGUAAUUUAUUAAAAGUGGCAAUACGAUGGAGAUAACCUUCGUAGCAGGCAGAGAAGCACGCGGAUUAUUACAAUGUUUUGCUAGAAUGACGUUUACGACAUGCCAGAAGUAUUACGUUUAUACGACUUUUAACUACAAUGUUAAUUAAACGACAUGAGGAAGCGCCCGACUUUUCCCUAUUCCUUUAAGUUGUUUUUGGAUUACUGUCGAAUUUUUUUUACCAAAUAUCGUUCCGUUUUAUUUUGAGAGCCUAUGGAAUUUUUUUUUUUUAAGAAGCCGAAAUAUUAAAUAAUUGUCAUAUUCUUCAUGCAGUCAAAUUUAAGUCAAAUAAAUAUCUCCCAAUCCCAUUACUAUACGGAUGUCUCCAUAUCUCCUUCAUUCCUUAAAAAUCUCCAACGAAAUACUCUUUGUUAACUCUAUUUAUACUUUUCCUCCCACAAUCUCAGCAACCUACCGUUCCUGCAGUUUUCUUCCCUUCCAACCAAGUUGAGAAGGAAUAGUUCGAGUAAGAGAGCCGAGAGUCCCCAAAUUGUUUUCCUGCAACUCUUUGCAACAAAGGUAUA